rnacentral:rRNA from 1 species
GACGUAGGGCGCGAGCGUUGUCCGGAUUUAUUGGGCGUAAAGAGCUCGUAGGCGGCUUGUCGCGUCGUUCGUGAAAACCCGCAGCUUAACUGCGGGACUGCAGUCGAUACGGGCAGGCUAGAGUUCGGUAGGGGAGACUGGAAUUCCUGGUGUAGCGGUGAAAUGCGCAGAUAUCAGGAGGAACACCGGUGGCGAAGGCGGGUCUCUGGGCCGAUACUGACGCUGAGGAGCGAAAGCGUGGGGAGCGAACAGG